CCUACGGGUGGCUGCAGUGAGGAAUAUUGGUCAAUGGCCGAGAGGCUGAACCAGCCAAGUCGCGUGAGGGAUGAAUGUCCUAUGGAUUGUAAACCUCUUUUGUCAGGGAGCAAAGUCACCCACGUGUGGGUGUUGGAGAGUACCUGAAGAACAAGCAUAGGCUAACUCCGUGCCAGCAGCCGCGGUAAUACGGAGGAUGCGGGCGUUGUCCGGAUUUAUUGGGUUUAACGGGUGCGUAGGGGGGUUAUCAAGUCAGCGGGAAAAUCGUGGGGCUCAACUCCAUCCAGCCGUUGAAACUGAUGAUCUGGAGUGGGCGAGAAGUAUGCGGAAUGCGUGGUGUAGCGGUGAAAUGCAUAGAUAUCACGCAGAACUCCGAUUGCGAAGGCAGCAUACCGGCGCCCGACUGACGCUGAAGCACGAAAGCGUGGGUAGCGAACAGGAUUAGAUACCCCUGUAGUC
rnacentral:rRNA from 1 species